UGCUAACAACAAAUAAUAGUACAAUCGUUAUUCUAUUGGUUCAUAGCUGAAUUGCAAAGACACUUUCCCUCAAUCAUUCAGUUUGAGAUGGAUGAUGAACUCAUACGAGACGGAUGUCUUGACGAGUAUUCUUCAAUUACAGAUUUCAAGCAGAAUUUGGGUGAAGAGCCUUUGAUACAUGAGGAAUUCGCAGGAGGAUGGGUUUUGUAUGAGAAUGAGAAAGAGAAAGAGAAAGAGAAACUAUCAAGCCAACUCAAAAUCAUAUCUCUGCUCAGAAUAAUUACAUCGUCAAGCUAUGGGAUGGUGGCGCACUCCCAUUGUUUGAUGCAAUUUUGGACAGUGGAAGGGAGCCAUCACUACCUCUCUUGUUCACACCACCCUUUUUAUGUUGGAAGUCUACACAAGGGAUUAUGUAGGCUGAGGAAGCUAUGUAUCGAUCAGCAGUAUGUUGCCGGAGGAGGAGAUGACGAGCAGCAGCUUGGAGGCGUGGGACGGGUGUAUCGGAACAUGCUACCCGAAUCCACACAGGAUCUGAGUCUAUACUCCACCCAUGAAUUUCCGAUGCGGGAUGAAGCUGCUCGCUGCGGUUUCAGAGCUUACAUCGCACUGCCUCUAUUUGAUUCCACCCACCCAAAUCAAUUCUACGGUGUGUUGGAGAUCUUUCUAGGAUGUAAUUAUGUUCAUAUGAUGAGACAUUUACUAUCUCUGCUGGGUGGAGAACUGCAGUCAGCAGGGUUGAGAUCCAAUCACAAGCCCACUAUUGCAAAUAUAAUGAGGCGACCUGGAAGUGAUAUAUCAGAGGUACUUGAAUUGGCUAUGGAGACAAUCCCGCGAAUAUAUCUGGCACUAGUUUGGAUCCCUUGUAACAAGCAAUGUUCUAACAUCUCCACCAACUUACGCUGCAUGGAGAUGGUAUCCUUCAUAGAUUCUCAAACUAAGAUAUUAAAUUCGGGGAUAGAUAUCGAUGCUGAUAUGCGUGUCUAUCUUCUAGCUUGUGAAUAUCACAAUCUUCAAAUAGAUCUUCGCAGGUGCCAUUCAACUUUACGUGGUCUCACUAUAUCUGAAAAUUCGAUGGCUCACUAUGCCCAACGGGCUAGGAUGUCCCAUUGUAUUGCAGUUUCUCAUCAGAGCAAUGACAAUAACUUGGACUACGUCAUUCAAUUUUUUCUUCGACCAAAGUAUACACGCGAUGAUCAUUCUCUACGCUUGCUGUUAAGGCUACUGAAGAUCAAUCUCAAGAGUGUGAGUGUAAUGUUUGUAUCUGGAAAAUCACUUCUCGAGGAAUAUGAAAGGCCUGAUGCAACUGAAUGCGAGUCAAUCGAUAGUUUCAGUUUGAUCAAGUCUAACAAGCAAAACCUUUUGGAGUUGGACAUGACAACAUACUUGAAGACGGUCGACUCAUGUUGCCUAAAACCUUCCUCUGCGGGUACAGACAAAGGAUGGGUUUUUUGCUUGCCAGCUGAACAAAGCGUAUGCGAAGAACAUGUUGAAAGUAACUCGUCGUUGGUCAAGGAGAAGAUGGAAGGUUUAAUGGGAAAAAUAGCAAAAAAAUCUUGGAAACACAAUAAUUGGAUAGUCCAAUUUUGGGCGCCCAAAAUGGAGAAUGAUAGGUGUUGUCUGAAAACUUCAGAUCAACCUUAUGCUGUUGGCUGUCUUGCAGAGGGUGUAGCUUCCUUUAGGAAACAUUGUAUGGAAAAUUACUAUUUUGUUGACGACAAAGCCAAACAAGAUGAACUCGGACCCCCUGGACGUGUCUUCAGAUUCAAACAUCCUGAAAUUAGCCCCGACCUCUUCUACUACACUAGAGAAGAAUUUCCAAAGAGAAACUUUGCUAUGGUUUGUGGCAAUCGAGGAUACUUGGCUUUACCCGUAUUUGGGAAUAAAGUUAAAGGAUGUUACAAGAUUGUGGGUGUGCUAGAGUUCCUAGGAUUUUGUCAUUCUGACCUUCCACUCAUCGAAAAACUAAUGAAGGCAACAAGACUACGCUCGCACAUAAACUAUUGUCGGGGAUUCUUAGCAAAUGAACCUGUCAGUAUUUUCAAUGGUGCGGGAAAAGCUUUGAGAGAAAUCCGUAAUGUCCUUAAAUUAACCAACGUCAUUCCCCAACUCUAUAUGGCAAAUGUUUGGGUCCCUACGGGAGACUGUGGUAGUACUCCUAAUAGUAAUAGGAGUUGCAUGGAGCUGAAAUUGUCUACUCGUUAUUUGUUGGAAUCUAUGGCUAAUCACCGGAUUCAUGUUCAAGCCAGAAAAGGGAUGAUUGGGAUGGUAUUGGCAUCUGAAAACAAAUCAUGUUUUUGUCCAACUUUAAGUGAGUUUAGCAUAGUUGACAACCCCAUGUCACACUAUGACAUGAGGGAUCGACGUGAUGUUUGUUUUGCAAUUUGUUUGCAAAGUUCAGAUACCGGCAACCUUGUUUAUGUUAUGGAGUUCUUUCUCUACCAAGGUCCUGCAACACAUAUGUGUGUUGGGUCCUUCUUGAGCCUUCUAUUGCCAAUACUACUGCAUAAAUUAAGAUCAUUUAAGCUGGCAUGUGGAAAGCAACUAGGAGAAGAACUGGUGGUUGAAGUUAUUGAAUUUUCUGAUGCAAACAAGCUUGAUUCCUCUGAAUUAGAGCAUGCAUGUGUGUAUCCAGUCAUAUUUAAAAGUGUGCAGUACAAUCAAAAGGGGUGCCAUCUCACUGAAGUACAACAACCGAAUGCGUAUCAUCAUAUGGAAGAAGAACAACACGCAGAAGAAUGCAAUGAAGAAGAACAACAUGCAGAAGAAAGGGCCGUUGGUAAUUCACAUUUCAGUGCACCAAAAAGAGAGAAGAGAAAAAAGCUAAAAGAUGUUGACGCUGAGGUUCUCAAAUCACAUUAUGGGAAGAAGCUAAAAGAUGUUGCAAAAGAGGUUGGUGUCAGUAAGUCAACAUUUAAGCGCGCAUGCAGGGAACUUGACAUUCCGAGGUGGGAAAAUAAUAUAAAACAAAAGAAAAAUUCAUCCAUUGUUGAGCAAGACAUGUUGCCAUCAAGCAGCAACCUUGAUCCAUUGGAUAAUGUGACACAAAUAAACACAGGAAAGGUGAUUGUAAAGGUGAAGUAUAAAGAAGAUAUAAUAAAAUUUGAGUUGUCUCUGUCAUCAUUAGGAUUGGCAAAGCUUAGUGAAGAAGUGGCGAAGAGACUGAAAGAAGUGGCGAAGAGACUAAAUCUGGAGAUGGGUAGUUUCAAUUUGAAAUACAUGGAUGAAGAUGGUGAUGAGAUUUUAAUAUGCAACGAUGAUGAUUUGCAACUCUGUCCAAAGACUAGAACGACAAAAGGCGAGACACUCAUCCAACUGUUGGUUCGAUGACAAUACUAGCUCCACUUUUUUCUUUCAAUUCAUUUAUGAACAAGCGCCUUUUGACUGAAGUUCAUGGGCGCACGCUUGGAGUUUGGACAUUGCUACUUGCACUCUUUGCUAUCUCUGUGCGUUCAACCUCGAUAACAAGCCUCUGUAUUUGGCCACAUUUCUAUCCUUUAUCUAUGCGUUCAGCUAUUUCCUGUCGGGAUAUCUGAUUUACCACACAACUGUUGGCUUCUUUGCUGGUAAAGCCCCUGCUGUUAACUGAAAAUGAAGAUGUAUCAUCACUCUUGUUUAGAAACCAUGCCAUUGCUUUCCUAUUGCCUUUGUUUAUAUUUAGUUCAAUAUGAAACAUGCCUAUCACACGGAGCACUAUAACAAGUAUUUUGGAUUUAUUUAAA